rnacentral:rRNA from 1 species
AUUGAACGCUGGCGGAAUGCUUUACACAUGCAAGUCGAACGGCAGCACGGACUUCGGUCUGGUGGCGAGUGGCGAACGGGUGAGUAAUGUAUCGGAACGUGCCCAGUCGUGGGGGAUAACGUAGUGAAAAUUACGCUAAUACCGCAUACGAUCUAUGGAUGAAAGCGGGGGAUCGCAAGACCUCGCGCGAUUGGAGCGGCCGAUAUCAGAUUAGGUAGUUGGUGGGGUAAAGGCCCACCAAGCCAACGAUCUGUAGCUGGUCUGCGAGGACGACCAGCCACACUGGAACUGAGACACGGUCCAGACUCCUACGGGAGGCAGCAGUGGGGAAUUUUGGACAAUGGGCGAAAGCCUGAUCCAGCCAUUCCGCGUGCAGAAUGAAGGCCCUCGGGUUGUAAACUGCUUUUGUACAGAACGAAAAGGUUUCUACUAAUACUAGGAGCUCAUGACGGUACUGUAAGAAUAAGCACCGGCUAACUACGUGCCAGCAGCCGCCGUAA